rnacentral:rRNA from 1 species
AUGCAGUCGAGGGGUAUAGGUUUUCGGACCUAGAGACCGGCGCACGGGUGCGUAACGCGUAUGCAAUCUACCUUUCACAAAGGGAUAGCCCAGAGAAAUUUGGAUUAAUACCUUAUAGUAAUACGACUUGGCAUCAAGAUGUAUUUAAAGAUUUAUCGGUGAAAGAUGAGCAUGCGUCCCAUUAGCUAGUUGGUAUGGUAACGGCAUACCAAGGCUACGAUGGGUAGGGGUCCUGAGAGGGAGAUCCCCCACACUGGUACUGAGACACGGACCAGACUCCUACGGGAGGCAGCAGUGAGGAAUAUUGGACAAUGGGCGCAAGCCUGAUCCAGCCAUGCCGCGUGCAGGAUGACGGUCCUAUGGAUUGUAAACUGCUUUUGUACAGGAAGAAACCCUUUCACGUGUGGAAGAUUGACGGUACUGUAAGAAUAAGGAUCGGCUAACUCCGUGCCAGCAGCCGCGGUAAUACGGAGGAUCCAAGCGUUAUCCGGAAUCAUUGGGUUUAAAGGGUCCGUAGGCGGUCAGAUAAGUCAGUGGUGAAAGCCCAUCGCUCAACGGUGGAACGGCCAUUGAUACUGUCUGACUUGAAUUAUUAGGAAGUAACUAGAAUAUGUAGUGUAGCGGUGAAAUGCUUAGAGAUUACAUGGAAUACCAAUUGCGAAGGCAGGUUACUACUAAUGGAUUGACGCUGAUGGACGAAAGCGUGGGUAGCGAACAGGAUUAGAUACCCUGGUAGUCCACGCCGUAAACGAUGGAUACUAGCUGUUGGGAGCAAUCUCAGUGGCUAAGCGAAAGUGAUAAGUAUCCCACCUGGGGAGUACGUUCGCAAGAAUGAAACUCAAAGGAAUUGACGGGGGCCCGCACAAGCGGUGGAGCAUGUGGUUUAAUUCGAUGAUACGCGAGGAACCUUACCAAGGCUUAAAUGUAGAUUGACCGGUUUGGAAACAGACUUUUCGCAAGACAAUUUACAAGGUGCUGCAUGGUUGUCGUCAGCUCGUGCCGUGAGGUGUCAGGUUAAGUCCUAUAACGAGCGCAACCCCUGUCGUUAGUUGCCAGCGAGUCAUGUCGGGAACUCUAACGAGACUGCCAGUGCAAACUGAAAGGAAAGUGGGGAUGACUUCAAUCAUCAGGGCCUUACGCUUGGGCUACCACGUGCUAAAUGGCCG